UCGGCCCAGGAAAGGCUGAUUCAGUUACAGGGUAAUUGACAGAAAAUCCAGCAGGACCUGGCGGUUGUAAUAGUAACAGCUAAACACGCAUUGCUUGCUUACCAUGUGCAGCCUCUGUGGUAUGUGAUGCCCAUGAAUGAUCCGAUCUUUUCCUGUCCAAACACUGUAUGAUCAAUCCUUGAAGGAAACCAAGGCCCCAGAAUAUGUUUCCAACUGCCAGUCGGUUAUAACUAAUGUACCCAGGAAUCUAAAUCUUGUGGUCUGACUCUUACCCACUGGAGAUACACUGCAGUGCACUGAUGAAGCCUAGGCAUUUACAGCAAGCUCGUGUGGCCUGGCCUGUUAAAGGACAUGUCAACAAAUUCCUGAGCAACCGGCUCCAGAGUGCCAAAAAUGAUGGACGGAGCAAACCUUUGAACGGUUCACAGCCAUCAACGAGCAUCCUCAGAGGAAUACCAGGCUCAGGGCAGGUCGGUGUUCUGCCUGGAAACCGGCAAGGAGGCAAGUCAUGAGAACACUGAACUCACUACAUCUUCCCGACCUCACGUUUCUGGUAAAGGAGACAACCUCUGCCCGCAGGACUUCCAGAAGCACUCAGGAGUGCCCCAUGAUUAUGCCAUAGCGACCUGGAGGAGCAGCAUACCUUCUGUAGUGAAAGGAAGUUUGAGAAAUAAGGAUUCAGUGUAUUUUUGGUUUUCACAUUAAAAGGCCUGUGUCCUUUCGUGCCAGCCCAGAUUCCACCCCAACCCUCACCCCCAACCAGGAAUACUUCAAAGAUAUUCUAAUAGGAAAGGUUGCCAGAUAAUUGUCAGAGAGGAUUAGCAUUAUCAGUGACCAAACUGUGAGCCUUUAGUCUUCUGGCAAGCCAAGUGGAGAGCACAGCCAGCUUCCCAAGCAGUUUCUAUGGAAAACAGAGAAGCAGCCCUUAUCCCUGGGUACCCAACUUAGGCAGCAUUUAGCACCCCAUAUGAGCAGACCACCUAUUCUUAGAACAGACCGGAUAUAGGGCACAUUGCCCUCAUUUCUAUUCUGUGAUAAAGA